CUCCGGUUGAUCCCGCCGGACCCGACUGCUAUCAGAGUGGGACUAAGCCAUGCGAGUCAACGCAGCAAUGCGUGGCAUACGGCUCAGUAACACGUAGUCAACAUGCCCAGGGGACGUGGAUAACCUCGGGAAACUGAGGAUAAACCGCGAUAGGCCAAGAUUUCUGGAAUGGAUAAUGGCUGAAAUCUAUAUGGCCCCUGGAUUGGACUGCGGCCGAUCAGGCUGUUGGUGAGGUAAUGGCCCACCAAACCUGUAACCGGUACGGGCUCUGAGAGGAGGAGCCCGGAGAUGGGCACUGAGACAAGGGCCCAGGCCCUAUGGGGCGCAGCAGGCGCGAAACCUCUGCAAUAGGCGAAAGCUUGACAGGGUUACUCUGAGUGAUGUCCGUUAAGGGCAUCUUUUGGCACUUCUAAAAAUAGUGUAGAAUAAGGGGUGGGCAAGUCUGGUGUCAGCCGCCGCGGUAAUACCAGCACCCCGAGUGGUCGGGACGAUUAUUGGGCCUAAAGCAUCCGUAGCCGGUUCUGCAAGUCUUCCGUUAAAUCCACCUGCUCAACAGAUGGGCUGCGGAGGAUACUACAGGGCUAGGAGGCGGGAGAGGCAAGCGGUACUCAGUGGGUAGGGGUAAAAUCCUCUGAUCCACUGAAGACCACCAGUGGCGAAGGCGGCUUGCCAGAACGCGCUCGACGGUGAGGGAUGAAAGCUGGGGGAGCAAACCGGAUUAGAUACCCGGGUAGUCCCAGCUGUAAACGAUGCAGACUCGGUGAUGGGUUGGCUUCGAGCCAACCCAGUGCCGCAGGGAAGCCGUUAAGUCUGCCGCCUGGGGAGUACGGUCGCAAGACUGAAACUUAAAGGGAAUGGGCGGGGGAGCA
rnacentral:rRNA from 1 species